rnacentral:rRNA from 1 species
AGUGAACGCUGGCGGUAGGCCUAACACAUGCAAGUCGAACGGCAGCACAGUAAGAGCUUGCUCUUACGGGUGGCGAGUGGCGGACGGGUGAGGAAUACAUCGGAAUCUACUUUUUCGUGGGGGAUAACGUAGGGAAACUUACGCUAAUACCGCAUACGACCUACGGGUGAAAGCAGGGGAUCUUCGGACCUUGCGCGAUUGAAUGAGCCGAUGUCGGAUUAGCUAGUUGGCGGGGUAAAGGCCCACCAAGGCGACGAUGCAUAGCCGACCUGAGAGGGUGAUCGGCCACACUGGAACUGAGACACGGUCCAGACUCCUACGGGAGGCAGCAGUGGGGAAUAUUGGACAAUGGGCGCAAGCCUGAUCCAGCCAUACCGCGUGGGUGAAGAAGGCCUUCGGGUUGUAAAGCCCUUUUGUUGGGAAAGAAAAGCAGCAGGUUAAUACCCCGCUGUUCUGACGGUACCCAAAGAAUAAGCACCGGCUAACUUCGUG